GACGAACGCUGGCGGCGUGCUUAACACAUGCAAGUCGAACGGAAAGGCCCUGCUUUUGUGGGGUGCUCGAGUGGCGAACGGGUGAGUAACACGUGAGUAACCUGCCAUUGACUUUGGGAUAACUUCAGGAAACUGGGGCUAAUACCGGAUAGGAGCUCCUGCUGCGUGGUGGGGGUUGGAAAGUUUCGGCGGUUGGGGAUGGACUCGCGGCUUAUCAGCUUGUUGGUGGGGUAGUGGCUUACCAAGGCUUUGACGGGUAGCCGGCCUGAGAGGGUGACCGGCCACAUUGGGACUGAGAUACGGCCCAGACUCCUACGGGAGGCAGCAGUGGGGAAUAUUGCACAAUGGGCGGAAGCCUGAUGCAGCAACGCCGCGUGCGGGAUGACGGCCUUCGGGUUGUAAACCGCUUUCGCCUGUGACGAAGCGUGAGUGACGGUAAUGGGUAAAGAAGCACCGGCUAACUACGUG
rnacentral:rRNA from 1 species